GGGGGCUCCAGGACGGGUGGGAGGCUCUGAGGUUGGCGGGGGUGGGCCGGCGCGCCACCCCGGCUGACACCUGGUGGUCCCUAGAGCUUGGGACCCUUCCCCGGGAGCUGGUCCCAGAGGGGGCGGGCGUUGCUGGGAGGCGGAGGGCUGCUUGGCCGCAGGUCCUGCGGUGUUGGCGAGCAUGAGUGCGUGCGCGUGUUUCUCUGAGGUCGGGCGCUGCGGCCGACUCUGCCCCCUCCUCCCGCUAACUCGGGUCGGCAGCGGGAGCCUAGAGAAGGCAACGUGGAGCCCAGAGCCGAGGCGCCCUUAGAUCGCGCUCUCUGUCCCCAGCAAAGGGGACAACUCUGGCCCAAGUCCUGGCCUAGAGGGAGCGCUGUGGAUACGCGCUGCCUUCUGCCUGGAAGUGUUGGGCAGGUGGUGGGAGUUCCUGAAUGUCAGGGUUUUAAAACACGUGUUUGUCUCUGUCAUUUUUACUUUUUAGGGUUUUGGCCAAAUUGGGCGAGGGCACAAAAUAACCACUUACCCCUUCUCACCGAGGAAGAACGGGAGAAAGGGUCCUGGCCACAAGGACGGACUCCUCCUCUCUAUUACACCCCAGACUUGUGGCUUCAACUGAAGGGCGUUACCCCUGGAAGCUGGGGUUUGUGGUGGGACGGGGGAAGGGUAAGAGAAUAAUGACAAAGGAGAGGCACGGUGAACUGAGAGAGGAAGGUGCCGGUCUUUUGCUCAGUCCAUGGACUUGGGUUGAUGAAUUACUUGAACCAGAGAAAAAAACCACCUUUAGUUCUGACCUGUUAAUCUUUGGUCGGCUGCUCCAUUGGAGACUCUUAGCUCCUAGUUGCCUGCUUAAUCCGAUGACAACUUUAUCACCUUCAUACUACCUGAAUGACUGUAUAUUUAUAUAUUUUUAUUUUUUUAUUUUAUUUUAUUUUUGUCUCUUUGCCUUUUCUAGGGCCGCUCCCGUGGCAUAUCGAGGUUCCCAGGCUAGGGGUCUAAUCAGAGCUGUAGCCAUGGCCUACGCCAGAGCUACAGCAAUGCGGGAUCCGAGCUGUGUCUGUGACCUACACCACAACACCACAGUUCGCGGCAAUGCUGGAGCCUCAACCCAUUGAGCGAGGCCAGGGAUCGAACCUGCAACCUCAUGGUUCCUAGUCAGAUUUGUUAACCACUGAGCCAUGACGGGAACUCCUAUUUAUGUUUUUUUAAUGUGUGGGACUUAGUAAUAGAUAUCUGUACUUCCUUAAGAUCUAGAAUUCUUUUUUCUGUACUCCAAGUGCAGUUGAUCUUGUCCUUUUGUUAGCCUAUAGUUCUUUCAUUAAUUUCUUUUUUUCCUAUAUGCUAUGUGCAUUGAAUUAGUGCUGAGGAUGUAAAGAUGAAAAGUCAUUUUCCCUGACCAAGGAGCUUAUGGUCCAGAAGGGCAACAUCUUGAUCAACAGUUCUAAUAUUGUGUGCUGUUUGCUGUAAUGGAGACAUGUACACAAUGCAAAGGAAGCCUAGGCAGAAGCUCUUGAUCCCUGAUGGAAAUGCCAGGCAAAGGCUUUAGCGGUGGUUGUGUUUGAGCUGAGCCUUUUUUUUUUUUUUUUUUUUUUCCCAUUUCUUGGGGUGCUCCCACGGCACAUGGAGGUUCCCAGGCUAGGGAUUGAAUCGGAGCUGUCGCCGCCGACCUACACCAUAGCCAGAGCAACGUGGGAUCCGAGCCGCGUCUGCAGCCUACACCUCAUGUUUGAGCUGAGUCUUGAAAGCUGAGUAGGAGUGGCCCGGGUGAUAAGCAGUGCAGAGAAUUUCCAGGUGGAGCUAAUAGUGGGAGUAGUUGUUUGGUAUUAGGAGAGUGUAGUGUAUUCUGGGAGCUUCUGUAGGUCAUUAUACUAGAGUGUGAAGGGCAAAGUUGGGAGUGAAAGGAGAUGAAAGUGGAAAGCUAAUUUAGGGUGUGUUUCCUGUCCCAUAAGUUGUCGUGAGCCACGGAAGACUUGUGAGUGACAUGACAGAUCACUGUGCUGGGUAGAUUGGGAUGGAGGGGGUGGGGGUGCGGGGAUCUGCUGAGACUGGGGCCAGAGCAGGCUGUGCAGUUCCUGUGGCUCAAAGGAGGCUGAGAGCACAGACAGAUGCAAGUAGUGGGGAUGCUCAGAAGUGAGAAUGUUUGGGAAAAUACUUAGGAGGAGGGAGAAGUGGCUGGUUUUUGGUGACUGUUUGUAAAAGGAAGGGGAGCGUGAGGCCACUGGAAUGACUACCAGGUUUCUGGGUAGUGAGAGGGAAAAGAGAAGAGGAGGCAGUUGUGAGGGGGAAGGUUUGCACGCAUUGCGUUUAACGAGCUUGUGGUGGGUUGAAGGCAUCUAGGCGGCAACUGGAUAUAAAGAUCCUGGAGCAUCGCAAGAGCUGUGGAGGCUGGAGAUAAAGAUUUUUGAGUGCUUGUCAUAUGGAGCGUUGAAGGCAUAGGUAAAAAGAAAAGUGCUCAGGGGAACUGCAGAGAAAGAGAAGAGAAAAGCAUGGAAAGUAAGUCUAAGAGCAGACUGAAAUUUUAGGGACAAACCAAGCAAAAGAAAGAUGUAAAGAUACUGAAAGAGAGUGGCCAGAGAGACUGGGAGAAGAGAGAAAACAAAACUUUUCAGGCCUGUGGCAGAGUUUCACAAAGCAGAACCCAGUUAAACUUUAAAGUUGGGAGUCAGUCAUUAAGUAUGAUGAAGAUUGAAAAGUGCCUCUUAGAAGUCACUGGUUGGAGUGGGGGGCCAGGUGCUAAACUAAAACUCCACAGCUGAUCUUACCUUUGAGUCUCAUUUUAUCUUGUUCAUGCUCCUCUUCCCUGGCUUAGGGGCCCCUGCUGUCUUGCUCUCACCACAUCCAGCCUUUUGCAUACAUUAUUCUCUAACCUAAUCCAGCUGUGGAGGGAAAAAAAUCUCCUUUCUUUUAUUAAAAGUGGAAAAAUUUCAAGAGAAUGUCUACUAGGAGGCCACGAGGGAAAUAACCAUACCAAACAUAAAGAUAAGACAUACAAAAAUCAUACAGUUCAGCAAACACUGUUUUCAUAUCUGCUAUCUUCAAGGCCCUGGAUAUAGAAGAUGGCAAGAAUGAAUAAGAUAGGGACCCUACCAUUAAAGAGCCCUCAGGCCAGUAAGAGAAAUGGAUGUGGAAGUAAAUGCUUUGUGCAAUACGUGCUGUUUAGAGGUAGAGUUCAGGGUAAGAUGGAUGCAAAAAAAAAAAUGGGCUUCUUUACCUUCUGUGAUUUGGAAGCCUUUACAGAGGAGGCAAUACUUGAGUUAAAGCUCGUCGCGGAGUUCAGACGGGGGGUGGAGAGGUUCAGGGAGUGGGAACAGGCAAUCAGGGGAAUAAAAUUUUCCUUGGUGGUCCCACGAUAGCAGCAAAAUGGGUUUAAGUUUCCCAUCUCUUCUUCCUUCUUGUUCUGCUUCAUUUAUUGCAAGGUAUCUUUGUCUUCGGGGAUAAGGAUGUUUUAACUUAUGUAUAAAGAUAUGCACAAUUUCUCCCUCUAUGGCAUACACUUUUUGUGAAUUGAUAAACCGCUGGUUUGGGAGUUCCCAUCGCGGCUCAGUGGUUAACAAAUCUGACUGGCAUCUGCGAGAACUCGGGUUCAAUCCCUGGCCUCGCUCAGUGGGUUAAGGACCUGGUGUGUCUGUGAGCUGUGGUGUAGGUCACUGGUGCACCUCUGAUCCCGCAUUGCUGUGCUUGUGGCUAAGUUGGCAGCUAUAGCUCUGAUUUGACCCUUAGCUUGGAACCUCCGUAUGCCACGGAUGCAGCGUGAAAAGGACCUAAAUAAAGAAAUAAAUAGGGAGUUCCUGUCGUGGCGCAGUGGUUAACGAAUUCGACUAUGAACCAUGAGGUUGUGGGUUCCAUCCCUGGCCUUGCUCAGUGGGUUAACGAUCCAGCGUUGCCGUGAGCUGUGGUGUAGGUUGCAGACGCGGCUCAGAUUCAGUGUUGCUGUGGCUCUGGCGUAGGCUGGGGGUUACAGCUCCGAUUCAACCCCUAGCCUGGGAACAUCCAUCUGCCGUGGGAGCGGCCGAAGAAAUAGCAAAAAAAAAAAAAAAAUAAAAAAAAAA
ensembl:lncRNA